UUUCUCAAGGCCUCAAGCCUCAGCCUCCUCUCGACGACUCAGUCACUCAGAGUCUCAGAUCUAAAUAUCCAUACCUCCAUAGCUCCUCAGCCUCCUCUCGACGACUCGACCUAAACCUCCAUACCUGAUCAGCCUCCUCUCUUCCUCUUCCUCAUCUCACGGGCUGCAAGAGGGGAUAAUCUAAGAGCAAAGAUUUGAUCGAGCAGCAACAACAAACACAAGUGCAGCGAAUAGUCUUCGCGUUAAAAGUCGAAUUGGAGAUGGGUACCAGCUACUUUAAUCCGACCUGAAGAAGGAGUCUUGGUGUCCGAUUUCGUACAAAUAAGGAAUUGAUCGCCUUGAUUCUACCACAUUCAACAAAGACUCGAACUGGAUUCAAAGCUUGUUCCGGCGAUUGGCCGAUUUUGAUUCGCAUGCAAGAGCAAAACUGGGGUGACUUCUCCAAUCUGGGCUGUACCAAUUAUGCAGGGCUGCAGGCAGAUUCUAAGUGUGAGCCUCAAUGAUACCAAGUCUGAAUGGAAGACAAUAUGCCUAAUUAUUAGAUAAACUCAUAGAAAUUGUAUUAAUAAUUUGCUUUCGUUCUAAGUUGUAUAUUGGGACACUUUGUAUUCUGUCUUUUUAUUUCAGUACAUUAAAAUGGGCGUGGGGAUGAGCCUCCUAGUUCGGCUGUUCCAAACCCCUUAAAACUUUAAAAGGAAAAAAAUAGCAUCCUUAAUAUGA